rnacentral:tRNA from 2 species
UUCACUCUCAAGACCAAGACAACGGUCUCUCUCUUCUAUAAAGCGAAGCAAAGCGCAUGGCGCUGAAGUGAAG